CAGGAGCUCCCAACCCCUUUGCAGGCUGGCUGGCCAGAGAGAGAAUUUCGGACAGGAUUUAGGCCUGGAAUUUCCCUCCAAAUGGGCGGUGUCGAUCAGGGUAAAAUGAAUACGUGGACAUUUACUACGGAGACAAAGUUGGAAAGAACCUGCUAGGCAGAGGGAACAGCACAGAGUUUCCAGGAGUACUGCCUAAGGAGAACAUGCGCGAGAAGGAAGCCCACACAGAGGAGAGCAGAGACCAAGCCCUGCAGACAUUGUCCGGGCUGUGCCAAAGACAGACUCACCCCUGGACUCUUCAGUGAUAUAAGCCAAUAAAUUACUUUUUUGUUGUUGUUUUUGUCUUAA
rnacentral:lncRNA from 10 species